rnacentral:rRNA from 1 species
CCCCGGCGCCACAAGUGGUUUUCACGAUUAUUGGGCCUAAAGCGUUCGUAGCCGGUUUGGUAAGUCUCUUGUGAAAUUGUUCGGCUUAACCGGACAGCGUGCAGGAGACACUACCAGACUCGAGACCGGGAGGGGUUAGAAGUAUUCCAUGGGGACUGGUAAAAUGGGAUAAUCCAUGGAAGACUACCGAUGGCGAAGGCAUCUAACCAGAACGGAUCUGACGGUGAGGAACGAAAGCCAGGGGAGCGAACCGG